UGUCCUUAGUUACCAGCACGUUAUGGUGGCACUCUAAGGAGACUGCCGGUGACAACCGGAGGAAGGUAGGGGAUGACGUCAAGUCAUCAUGGCCCUUACGGCCUGGGCUACACACGUGCUACAAUGGUCGGUACAAAGGGUUGCCAAGCCGCGAGGUGGAGCUAAUCCCAUAAAACCGAUCGUAGUCCGGAUCGCAGUCUGCAACUCGACUGCGUGAAGUCGGAAUCGCUAGUAAUCGUGAAUCAGAAUGUCACGGUGAAUACGUUCCCGGGCCUU
rnacentral:rRNA from 1 species